GCCUCAAAUCUAGCCCGCAUAACUACAAUGAUAUUACCAAACUACUGUAUAAAAUAAAACAUUUUAACAUUUUAGUACAGGCGAUAGAAAAAUUAUUAAGCGCUUUAGACAAAGUACCGUAAGGGAAAUAUGAAAUAGAAGUGAAAUAAAAUUAUAGCUAUAAAUAGCAGAGAUACCCCCUCGUACCUUUUGCAUCAUGGUCUAGCUAGUCCACCCGAGCAAAAUGAAAAUUUUAGUUCGACACCCCGAAACUAAGCGAGCUACUUCAAAACAGCCCAAAGGGCCAACCCAUCUCUGUUGCAAAAGAGUGGGAAGAUUUUCAAGUAGAGGUGACAAGCCUACCGAGCUUAGAGAUAGCUGGUUGUUCAGGAAAAGAGUUUUAGCUCUGCCUUAAGUUUUUUUAUUUUACCAAACAAGCUCAAAAACUUAAGAGUUAUUCAAAUUAGGCACAGCUUAUUUGAAACAGGAUACAACCUCAACCAUUGGGUAAACAAGGGUAAUAAAAAUAAAGUGGGCCCAAAAGCAGCCACCUUCCAAAAAGCGUCAAAGCUUAAUUACUCAAGCCCGUAAUUUCCAAAACACUCUACAACCCCUCAUCUAUACUGAACUAUUUUAUAUAUAUAUAAAAAUAAUUAUGCUAGAACUAGUAACAAGAAGUUACCCUUCUCCUUAAUGUGAGCAUACACCAAAACGGACACUCCAUUGGUAGUUAACGUAGAUGCAAAACCAUAAUAACAUAACCAGAAAACCUUAUGGCCACCCAACGUUACCCUUACACCAGAGCAUUACAGGAAAGAUUAAAAGAAAGAGAAGGAACUCGGCAAAUUUUAACCCCGCCUGUUUACCAAAAACAUCGCCUCUUGAUUAAAAAUAAGAGGUCCAGCCUGCCCAGUGAUAAUAUUAAACGGCCGCGGUAUACUAACCGUGCGAAGGUAGCAUAAUCACUUGUUCUUUAAAUGGGGACUUGUAUCAACGGCAUCACGAGGGUUAUACUGUCUCCUCUCUCCAAUCAGUGAAACUGAUCCCCCCGUGAAGAAGCGGGGAUUUUAUUAUAAGACGAGAAGACCCCAUGGAGCUUUAAACUCGACAUACACCAAGGCACUAAAACACCAAUUUAACCCAAAAACCUGUACGUCAGUUUUAGGCUGGGGGGGCCACGGAGUAAAACUAAACCUCCACAACAAAUGGGCUAACACCCUUAUUUAAGAUUUACAAAUCUAAGAAUCACCAAAAUGAUGUUUAAUGACCCGAUAAUUCGAUCAAUGGACCAAGUUACCCUGGGGAUAACAGCGCAAUCUACUUCAAGAGCCCUUAUCGACAAGUAGGUUUACGACCUCGAUGUUGGAUCAGGGUAUCCUAGUGGUGCAACCGCUACUAACGGUUCGCUUGUUCAGCGAUUAAAACCCUACGUGAUCUGAGUUCAGACCGGAGCAAUCCAGGUCGGUUUCUAUCUAUAAAGAGCCCCUCCUAGUACGAAAGGACCGGAGAGGUGUGGCCAAUGUAUAAAUAAGCCAGACUCCAACAUCAAUGAAAUAAUCUUAAUUGACCAAGACCUACUACUAAUCUCCAGACUAGAGCCCUGUUA
rnacentral:rRNA from 1 species